AAAGGCAAAACAGGGUUGGGGUAGAGUUAGGGGUAGGGUUAGUGGUUGAGGUAGGCUUAAGGCUAGGGGUUGGGGUAGGGUUAGUGGUUGGAGUAGGGUUAGGGGUAGGGUUAGGCUAGGGGUAGGGUAACCCUAACCCUACCCUAACCCUAUGCUAACCCUAACCAUACCCCUAACCUUACCAUAACCCUACUCCAAACCCUUACCCUGCUCCUAACUUAACCCUACCCCUAACCCUAACUCUACCCCUAACCCUACCCCUAACCCUACCCUAACACUACUUCUAACCUUGACCCUGCUCCUAACUCAACCCUUCCCCUAACCCUACCUCUAACCCUACCGCUAACCCUAUCACUAGCCC